AUCACAAUCACAACGGAGCGCUAUGAAUGUUGGGAGACCGGAAGUGUGGCGUUCGUCACGUUCCAUACAACUCGGAAGGCUGGCGUCCGGGGAUUCAGGAACACACCAUGAAUACUAAAUAAUGCUACUUCCGGAAUGAAGGCAACAUCAUAGCAAUGUGACGUGACGAUGUACAAGCCCUGCAAAACUCUAAAUACAUCUUAUAGUAUGGCGAAAGGAUGGUGCAUGCUCUUCACUAAGAAAGGGGUUCCGACAGAGGGUUCAUCUUUUCUGCCUAUUAUAUUAUAACGCCACAGUGUUGGGUCAUAGCCAUUUGUAGACACACCACCCCUUGUUCCUAGAACUGUUUGUCCAUUCUGGGAUUCAGUAGAAACAUGGCAGCCCCUGUGGAAGAGGCUGGCUCCCUAUAUAUGCAGAUGUAAAAGCCUCAUUCUAGGGUAACAAAAACACUAUUCUUAAUUUCAUGUGACAAUACAUUAAUUAAAACAUACUUACGAAUAAUG